rnacentral:lncRNA from 1 species
GUAGUUCGUGGUAACAAUUUCAAAGUGGUGGGUUGCUUUUAAUAAAAGAUUAAUAAGAAAGACACAAAAGGCCCAAAACUUUGAAUGAAGUUGUUAGUUCUUUUUGUCUUUUAAAAUUUUAAGUCAAUAUGAUUAGAUUUAUUUACAAGUUUGAUUUAAGAAAAGGAGGUUUAAAAACUCAAUGGCAUAAGGCCAAAGUUUCUAGUUGAAAUAAGGUCUAUGUUUAAAAUCAC